rnacentral:rRNA from 1 species
AUUGAACGCUGGCGGCAGGCCUAACACAUGCAAGUCGAACGGUAACAGGAAGCAGCUUGCUGCUUCGCUGACGAGUGGCGGACGGGUGAGUAAUGUCUGGGAAACUGCCUGAUGGAGGGGGAUAACUACUGGAAACGGUAGCUAAUACCGCAUAACGUCGCAAGACCAAAGAGGGGGACCUUCGGGCCUCUUGCCAUCGGAUGUGCCCAGAUGGGAUUAGCUAGUAGGUGGGGUAACGGCUCACCUAGGCGACGAUCCCUAGCUGGUCUGAGAGGAUGACCAGCCACACUGGAACUGAGGCACGGUCCAGACUCCUACGGGAGGCAGCAGUGGGGAAUAUUGCACAAUGGGCGCAAGCCUGAUGCAGCCAUGCCGCGUGUAUGAAGAAGGCCUUCGGGUUGUAAAGUACUUUCAGCGGGGAGGAAGGUGUUGAGGUUAAUAACCUCAGCAAUUGACGUUACCCGCAGAAGAAGCACCGGCUAACUCCGUGCCAGCCGCCGCAGUAACAC